UACGUAGGGGGCGAGCGUUGUCCGGAUUUAUUGGGCGUAAAGAGCUCGUAGGCGGCUUGUCGCGUCGAAUGUGAAAACUCGGGGCUCAACUCCGAGCUUGCAUUCGAUACGGGCAGGCUAGAGUUCGGUAGGGGAGACUGGAAUUCCUGGUGUAGCGGUGAAAUGCGCAGAUAUCAGGAGGAACACCGGUGGCGAAGGCGGGUCUCUGGGCCGAUACUGACGCUGAGGAGCGAAAGCGUGGGGAGCAAACAGG
rnacentral:rRNA from 1 species